rnacentral:rRNA from 1 species
GCGGCGAACGGGUGAGUAACACGUGAGCAACCUGCCCUCGACUCUGGGAUAAGCCUGGGAAACCGGGUCUAAUACCGGAUAUGACCCAUCAUCGCAUGGUGUGUGGGUGGAAAGUUCUCUCCGUUUUCGGGGGGUUCGGUCGGGGAUGGGCUCGCGGCCUAUCAGCUUGUUGGUGGGGUGACGGCCUACCAAGGCGACGACGGGUAGCCGGCCUGAGAGGGCGACCGGCCACACUGGGACUGAGACACGGCCCAGACUCCUACGGGAGGCAGCAGUGGGGAAUAUUGCGCAAUGGGCGGAAGCCUGACGCAGCGACGCCGCGUGGGGGAUGACGGCCUUCGGGUUGUAAACCUCUUUCAGCGGGGACGAAGCCUUUCGGGGUGACGGUACCUGCAGAAGAAGCGCCGGCUAACUACGUGCCAGCAGCCGCGGUAAUAC